rnacentral:siRNA from 1 species
UUAGUUUCGACACUUCUCUUGAUC